UCGGAGGAGAGACGGGAGGCCACCGUACACGAGAGGUCAGCAGUCGGGGUAGAGAUGACAGGCCACCAUACACAGGUCAGCUAGUCUGGCUGACAAUUAUCUAUGGCCAAUUUAUGGCACCUACAUGGGACAUAGACGGUGUAUAUCUUGUGACUGCCUUCCAUGUCCCUUUUAGGCUGCUCAGAUUAGAUUACUAAAUUCUAUUAGGAAGGAGGAGAAUCUUGUGUGAUACAUUGUAGUCGCUGUGAUAGGAGAUCUACUAUUCAGAGUGAAACAGAUGCGAAAUGUGCGCAGGGAUCUAAUGCAUUCUUGGCAGCAACGUCUAGCAACACCUUGGAGACACAACUAAGGCCAGGCCGCAUGUCUCCUCUCCAUUAAUAAUCUGAGCUGUUUACUGAGCAAUCAUUGCCGGCUUGGUAAACAGCAGUAGAGUCAAUGGCUGCUAAUCCGCUCCCUGCCUGGCGACUGCUGAUGUUGUCACUGCUGCCGUGAUCAGGAACGCUCUCGAUUCCAGCUCCUCAGGAACACAGCGGAGAUGUUCAUCACGGUCUUUUAUGGAGACGGGGAAGAGAUGUUGUUUAACAUCAAUUGUAAAGUUCAGCUCCUUCUGGAAAGUAUCAAGAACUUGUGUCACUAUGAAAAUGAAGGGGAUAUAGAUCUUGCAGAUGAGAGUGGACAGGUGAAGAACCUUCUGGAGAACCAGCUGCGCUAUGCCAAUGAGCUGCUUGGAGAGAGGGAGACCUGUGUCCUCCUCGCUGUGACCAGGUCCUCGGAGUCCUCAGAUGUCAUAUUUACCCCAUUACUAAAUGAUGAUACCAUUGUGAAUGCCAAAUUUCUAGCAAAGUUGGGAAAUUGGGGAGACUCCAAAGACCCCAGUCGUAAGCUGAAAUCCAAAAAGUCUAACAGAAAAGGCACUGUGGUGAUUUCCACCCCUCCUGAAGUGACAGGAAAGCCGAGCCCUUCCGUCCGGAAACGUUCAGUGAAACCUUGAGGAGGGAGCGCACAGCCGGGGGUCUGCUGGGAUCCUUACCUGCCUUUAUUGCACUGGGACGUUUUCUUUCGUCAAAUAUAUUUUACAUUUCUGGCAGAUCUUGUGUCAUUACUUUCCAGAGCGAUCACAUCUUUUCACCCGAAGUAUUUAGAAGACAAUUCAUGGUGUCGGGCAUAAAUGUUGCUUUUCCUGCGCCUGCAGGCUAAAAAUGCUGAUUCCAGACUGGGAGUAGUAGUAGUAGUGACUGGUCUCAAUCAGUGACUGUCUGAGCAGGUAUUUUCUGCAGGGUAGACACAGCAGUGACCUCGAGCCAUCAGUACAGGAGCGGCAGCAGCAGAUCAGGGCGGAUGAGUCACAUGCCCUUUGGACCUUCUUGAUGUACUUGUAGGUACACAAAACAGGAGCCAAUAUGACAGCCUACUUAUGGCUCCUAUUGACCUCAAUGGAUGCAACAGUCGGGUAAAAGAGCUGUGGAAUUGUCACUCAGGGCAUCCUCCAGGCUAUGCUCUCCAAGAAACAUCUAACAACCUGUAGGACAUCGUGUCAGUAGAAUUGAUGGACGUUUCCAAGGGCAAUGAAUACUGCAGGACCUCUCUGAUAGGUGAUAAUCCUGCAAGCAAAGCCAUUACCACCGCUUCUGCCAAAAUGACAUCCAAUUUAUGCAUUGACAUGAAGCCUCUCCAUCUCUGAGGUGGCAGAUCCUUAUCGGGAUGAUUGGAGUGUAAUGAAAGCCUCAUGUUCUCUGGCAUUAAUGUCCGACCUCUCUCGCAGCCUCGGGAGCUUUUCUUUCGUUUCGCAGCCAGUUAACAGUUUUGCUGUAAGCUGUUAAUCCAGUUAUCCCGGACACGUCAAGGAGUAAAGCGGGUAAUGCCGCCUGGACAGCCGCCUAUGCUUCACUGGGACUGUAUGAAUAAAAGAUGAGUAC